GUGGGGAAUCUUGCGCAAUGGGCGAAAGCCUGACGCAGCAACGCCGCGUGCGGGAAGAAGGCCUUCGGGUUGUAAACCGCUUUCAGUAGGGACGAAAACAGACGGUACCUACAGAAGAAGCCCCGGCCAACUACGUGCCAGCAGCCGCGGUAACACGUAGGGGGCGAGCGUUGUCCGGAUUUAUUGGGCGUAAAGAGCUCGUAGGCGGCUCAGUAAGUCGGGUGUGAAACCUCCAGGCUCAACCUGGAGACGCCACCCGAUACUGCUGUGGCUAGAGUCCGGUAGAGGAGCGUGGAAUUCCUGGUGUAGCGGUGAAAUGCGCAGAUAUCAGGAGGAACACCAACGGCGAAGGCAGCGCUCUGGGCCGGUACUGACGCUGAGGAGCGAAAGCGUGGGUAGCAAACAGGAUUAGAAACCCCAGUAGUCC
rnacentral:rRNA from 1 species